AUGCUCAUUGCUCACCGUAAAGUGAAAUUUGAAUCUUUCGUCGGCUGUCGCUCCAUCUGUUUUCCAUCUUCCAAGUUUCCCUUUACAAUCGAACGAUAACGCCACCGCGGCGUGGUACUGCACUUUUCCGCGCUGAAUUUUCCGCACGCGAAACACUGCUACUGAUUUUACUUGCCGAAUGAAAUGCGACAGUGUCUAAAUUUAGAAAAACAACGUACGCGCGCGCAAUUGUUUUGGAACCUUUUCUUCCCGGCAAGGUCGCGCUUCUUCCUCGACGGAGGCUCUUUCUUCGCGAAGCAAUUUCCACGAAUCUGUGGAGCGCUAAUUACCAUAGUCAAUUGCUGUUUCGCAACAGAGGGCAGUUUCGAUCAAACUCCCAUUAAUAACAAUUGGCAGAACUGCUCUCUCAACAGAGUUUUUAACCUCGCGAGAGAUUCAUCCAGAUUCAUCGUUCCCGAGUUGAUCUUUCUACCUGUAUCAAACGACGAGGAGACAAGCUAUUUCUGUUUAUAAUAGAGUAUCACAGGUGUUGAGCUCGACAAGAUUGAGGUGUCGUCAGCAGCUGCGGUCCACGUAUCGAUCUUACCUAUCUGCUCUAUCUCGCGUAAGUACUACGUUUCCGUCAUUACCGGUCGUUACUGACGGAAUACCGACGAGCAUCGCGCGCUAUAAAGAUCCAUCAUCGUACACGUUAUUCGCAAGGCGUGCACUAUUUGAAUCUCGCAACGACUGUUAUUUCGCGAGCGAAUGGGAAAUAUCCGUUCCACUUUGCGAGGUAUAUAAUAAUAUCAUUGAUCAAUGGCAUUACGAAACUCGUUUUUCCUAAUCUGUAGCUACGAGAUAGAAUGGACCUUGAUCAAAGUAAGAUACGAUAAAAAAUACUCUUGGACUGAAGCUCUGAUUGACUUAACCCUAAAACGCUAAAGGAAUGUUCAUCUGAGCGCUAGUUCGAGUUUAAUAUUUAUUGUCAUAAAAAUUUUGAUAGCUUAUUUAUCAUGUUUAAACGAUGAAUGUUACGUAUGUAAAAGAUGUAAUUUCGCAUAAGCAAUUCUACCGGUUGAAUUAAUCACCGAAAGUCAAUCGGAGUUUGGGCGAGAUCGCCUCAAGGUCAAGAUUCGACAUUCAUCGGUGCCCAGUCUCUUCGAGUAAAAGUAAUUCUUGAAUACUGACGCACUUUGGUCGUCAAGCGAGAUCCUGUAUCUGAUAAUGACUGUUAAUAUUUACUCUGCAUUAAGCACCAUGUCAGUCGUUGUUUACUUAUUAAACUGAUUGUUCUCCCAAUUUAUUCCCAGGCAGCAACCCGGCAACACGAGUCAAACGCGUUCGGUCGCUACUUAUUUAUUAAAGAUGAUUUCUCCUCCGAUUUAUCCCACGGAAUCAUCCCGGAACACGUGUCGAAUACACCGUCUGUUUACUUAUUCAGAGCCAGGUGGAUUGUGCCAUAAAUAUCAAAAUUCAAGAUCUACAUGGAUUACUUACAUAUUGUUUACCUUAGGUUUAUAGGAAUCAUUUUCACAUAGGCAAUACAAGCAAUGUAAAUUAUUAUGUAAUAAAUCGAAUAACAAUAAUACUGAAAAAAAUAAUCAAACUGUUAAGGAUGUAUUGAACAUACAGUCCUUACAAAAGUAAGUAAAAUUUGGAAAAUAUGUUUAAUAUUAACAUUUCAAAUAAAUUAUAUACAUAUGAAAGCUG